rnacentral:siRNA from 1 species
ACGAGAGGAGACUUCUGGGCGC